rnacentral:tRNA from 1 species
GGAGGAGUUGGAAGCUCAGUGGUAGAGUUCAUGUUUUGUAUGUAUAAUGUCCUGGGUUCAAUCCCCAGCUUCUUCA